rnacentral:sRNA from 1 species
UUUGCUUCUCUGACUUUGAGUCCUCUUGUUAGCCCCUAAAUGUUUGUACUCCCCAAGGUUCUGCUGGUGAUCUCCUUUCCUCUCCCCCUCCACCCUUUCUAUUGAUCUCACCUCCUUCUCAGGCUUCAGAGAGCCGUCUGUGCAGGUGACUAUGAAAUGUGUAUUUCUCAUCCACCUGCUUUGAGCUUAAGAUUUACAUCUGGAGAGGUCAACCUAGGGGAGCCAUGGCAUCUGAGACUCAGCGUGUCUUAAACCAGAUUCAUCUCUUACUGUCCUCACCAGCUUCUCCAGCUCUCCUUUUAGCUGUAAUGACAGUUGCACUCUCUCAGCCACCAGAUUGUGGUGCCCUUCUUCGCCACAUCUUGCCUUCAUUCUCCACAUUGCAUUCGUUGCAGUUUUCAGGCUUAUCCUUAUAAAGUAUCUUUUCUUCCAAAAAUUGCUUGUGUAUACAUAUGCAUAGAGAGAUAUCUGGAAAGAAAUUCACCAGAAAGUUUAAUUCACCGUCCAGUCUAUCUCUGGGUAAUGGGAUUCUAUAUUGUUCAAGCUUUUUUUUUUUUUAAAUAACAGGCCUUAAUUACUCAUAGACUUGUGCCCAGUGUAUACCCGUCUAUCUUCUCAGCACUCCCUUGCCCUGAACCCCAUCACUGGGGCUCAGUUGCUGGUUCAUUCAUUCUUUGUACCUCCGGUCAUCAUUUUCCGGGUGCCUUUCAAGUAAACUUUCCUUAGUGAAACUCUUCUUCCAGCUGAAUGUUUCUUCCUUUCGUGAGCCCUCUGGUCUCUAUGCUAUUUCCUGUAUUCUGCCCUCUGCUCUCCAUACAUGUGUAUUUUGUGUUCUGUCCUUUAUUAGAUUGUAAGCUCCAUGAGGGCAGAGUUUGGGUCUGAUUACCCAUCCUUUCCCCCUUUUGGUUACAGUCUCCCAGUUUUUCUCUGGGAGACAACACCUUUUCCCCCUGGCUACAGUUUUGGUGGGAUGGGCAGUUCAGGUGUCCUGCCAACAAGAUACUCUUCUCCUGGAAUUUGAAUUUUGAGUCAUGGGAUACAAGGACUGACAGUGAUUGGCACUGAUUCAGCCUGGCCGAGGUGCUCUGAAGAAGCCACUCAUUAGUUCCUGCCUCCCAGAUCCCUGGAGCUGCCCUGGUCCCUGAACUCUCCGAAGCCUGGUUCUUCAGAUAUUCCUCGUAUCUCCAGAGACUGCUGCUACUUUGAAACGUACGAUAGAGGCCCUGAUGGACAGAGGAGCAAUAGUGAGGGACUUGGAAAACCUGGGUGAACGAGCGCUUCCUUAUAGGAUCUCUGCCCACAGUCAGCAGCACAACAGAGGCGGGUAUUUCUUGGUGGAUUUUUAUGCACCCACCGCAGCUGUUGAAAGCAUGGUGGAGCACUUGUCUCGAGAUAUAGAUGUGAUUAGAGGGAAUAUUGUCAAACACCCUCUGACCCAGGAACUAAAAGAAUGUGAAGGGAUUGUCCCAGUCCCACUCGCAGAAAAAUUAUAUUCCACAAAGAAGAGGAAGAAGUGAGAAGAUUCGCCAGAUUUUAGCCUUAUAUGUAAUUCCUUCACAUUUGGGCAGCAUGGACGAGAAGGAAGAGUUUGCAAGUUUGGCCUUUAUAUAAGCAUGUGUUGCAGGUGCUGUUUGAUUUUUCUAAGGUAUUUUUAGCCCUUGAUCCCCUUUGCUUGCGAGAGGUGGGGAACUGCUCACUGACAGCUUCUCUGUAACCUGCAGUACCAGUGGAUCAUUCUUGAUUUUGUUUUCAUUAGUGUCAUUUCUUUGUCAGUGAGGACUUUUCCCCUUACAACAGUAACACCAUUUUUUGAAGAGCAAAACUUGUAAUACCUCCUGGGAUUGUGAGCUAGUCAUUCAGCCUGUGUAACCAUGCGCAAAUAAAAAUUGACGACCAAUGUAUUAUAUGGACAACUUUUGCUUUGAGUAAUAAACUUGAUUGUAGGAAUGCG